UUGCAGGCUGCAACCCGCCUGCAUGAAGUCGGAAUUGCUAGUAAUCGCGGAUCAGCAUGCCGCGGUGAAUACGUUCCCGGGCCUUGUACACACCGCCCGUCACACCAUGGGAGCCGGUAAUACCCGAAGUCAGUAGUCCAACCUCGUGAGGACGCUGCCGAAGGUAGGAUUGGCGACUGGGGUGAAGUCGUAACAAGGUACC
rnacentral:rRNA from 1 species